GAUGAACGCUGGCGGCGUGCUUAACACAUGCAAGUCGAACGGAAAGGCCCAGGUUUGCUUGGGUACUCGAGUGGCGAAGGGGUGAGAAACACGUGGGGGAUCUGCCCUGCAUUUGGGGAUAAGCCGGGGAAACGGGGUCUAAUUCCGGAUAGGCAGGCGGUUGGGAUGCCGUUGUGGAAAGUUUUUUCGGUGUGGGAUGAGCUCGCGGCCUAUCAGCUUGUUGGUGGGGUAAUGGCCUACCAAGGCGUCGACGGGUAGCCGGCCUGAGAGGGUGUACGGCCACAUUGGGACUGGGAUACGGCCCAGACUCCUACGGGAGGCAGCAGUGGGGAAUAUUGCACAAUGGGCGCAAGCCGGAUGCAGCGACGCCGCGUGGGGGAUGACGGCCUUCGGGUUGUAAACUCCUUUCGCUAGGGACGAAGCGUUUUUGUGACGGUACCUGGAGAAGAAGCACCGGCUAACUACGUG
rnacentral:rRNA from 1 species